CAAGUCGAGGGCAGCGCGGGAGUAGCAAUACUUCUGGCGGCGACCGGCGGAAUGGGUGAGUAACACGUAUCCAACCUGGCCCGCAUCUCGGGGACAGCCUUUCGAAAGAAAGAUUAAUACCCGAUAGCGGCCGCUCCUUCACAUGGAGGCGCGUGUCAAAGAUUCAUCGGAUGCGGGAUGGGGAUGCGCCUGACAUUAGGCAGUUGGCGGGGUAACGGCCCACCAAACCGACGAUCAGUAGGGGUUCUGAGAGGAAGGUCCCCCACAUUGGAACUGAGACACGGUCCAAACUCCUACGGGAGGCAGCAGUGAGGAAUAUUGGUCAAUGGGCGGAAGCCUGAACCAGCCAAGUAGCGUGCAGGACGACGGCCCUCUGGGUUGUAAACUUGCUUUUGUGCGGGGGUAAAGUGACCUACGUGUAGUUUAAUGAGAGUACAUCACGAAUAAGCAUCGGCUAACUCCGUGCCAGCAGCCGCGGUAAUACGGAGGAUGCGAGCGUUAUCCGGAUUUAUUGGGUUUAAAGGGAGCGUAGGCUGUGCCGGUUAAGUCAGUUGUGAAAAGCAGGUGCUCAACAUCUGCCUUGCAGUUGAAACUGUCCGCGCUUGAGCGUGUGAUGAGGCAGGCGGAAUUCGUGGUGUAGCGGUGAAAUGCUUAGAUAUCACGAAGAACUCCGAUUGCGAAGGCAGCUUGCGUGGCCCACGUCUGACACUAAUGCACGAAAGCGUGGGGAUCAAACAGGAUUAGAUACCCUGGUAGUCCACGCAGUAAACGAUGAUGACUAACUGUCGGCGAUAAACAGUCGGUGGCCAAGCGAAAGCGAUAAGUCAUCCACCUGGGGAGUACGUUCGCAAGAAUGAAACUCAAAGGAAUUGACGGGGGCCCGCACAAGCGGAGGAACAUGUGGUUUAAUUCGAUGAUACGCGAGGAACCUUACCCGGGCUCGAACGGCUAGACGAACGCGGCAGAGAUGCCAAGGUCCUUCGGGACGUCUGUCGAGGUGCUGCAUGGUUGUCGUCAGCUCGUGCCGUGAGGUGUCGGCUCAAGUGCCAUAACGAGCGCAACCCCUGCCUUCAGUUACCAGCACGUAGAGGUGGGGACUCUGGAGGGACUGCCACCGCAAGGUGAGAGGAGGGGGAGGAUGACGUCAAAUCAGCACGGCCCUUACGUCCGGGGCGACACACGUGUUACAAUGGCGACUACAGAGGGAAGCCACCCGGUGACGGGGCGCGGAUCUCGAAAAGUCGUCUCAGUUCGGAUCGGAGUCUGCAACUCGACUCCGUGAAGCUGGAUUCGCUAGUAAUCGCGCAUCAGCCAUGGCGCGGUGAAUACGUUCCCGGGCCUUGUACACACCGCCCGUCAAGCCA
rnacentral:rRNA from 1 species